rnacentral:rRNA from 1 species
UACGUGGGGGGCAAGCGUUGUCCGGAUUUAUUGGGCGUAAAAGGCUUGUAGGUGGCCACGCCAAGUCGGAUGUGAAAUCUCCCGGCUCAACUGGGAGGGGUCAUUCGAUACUGGCGGGCUCGAGGCCGGUAGGGGGAAGUGGAAUUCCCGGUGUAGUGGUGGAAUGCGUGGAUAUCGGGAGGAACACCAGUGGCGAAGGCGGCUUCCUGGACCGGUUCUGACACUGAGGAGCGAAAGCGUGGGGAGCGAUCCGG